GUCUACAGGUGUACCACCGUGAAUGCACCUGAUCUCAUUCUGAUCUCAGAAGCUAAGCAUGGUCAGGCCUGGUCAGUACUUGGAUGGGAGGAAGGACCCCCUCAACUUCGUAGAGG
rnacentral:rRNA from 1 species